CCCCUUAACUUCCCAAUUAAUACAUAUAUAGCCGUUGCUAAUUAAUGCAUAAACCUUUCUAAAAAUAAAGAUUAAGACCACUCACCAAUUUACUCUCUUCGAUUCAAAGAUUCAUCAAUUAAGAUUAAGACCGCUUUAUUUAGUUCAUCACUGCAAGUUCAAAUAUCAGUUCAAAGGCAUUUUAGUUCCCAUCUCAAAUUACUCACGUCAUUAUAAUCAUCCAGCUCUUCAUUCUGCUGCAACAGUCUUUGCUCUCUCGUUGUUAUUCAGUCAUCAUCAUCUCUCGAUCUGUACUGUUAUUUAUUUACAUACAAUAUUCAUAUUUAAUAUUACAUUCAUAAACAUCAACAGUUUUACAUAUAUUACAUAACACUGUAUUCAUUCAAAUUCAAAUAUCGAAUACCAUAUAUAACUCCAAUUAAAUCUUGAAGACUAAUCCAAUACAAUCAUCAUCAUACAUAAAAUUUAACAAGGUAUCAGAGUAUUAGAUCCUAUAUAUAUAAUAUAUAUAUAUAUUUCUUAAAAACAAAAACAUUAUUUAUUGAGGGUUGCAACUCUCGGUUGAAAUCUGCUAAGGGUCGCAACUCUCCCGUUUAGUUUCUGCACCUCCUUUAUCGUUCUUGGGGGAGGGGUCAUGGCUGUAACGGCCUCCACCUUUUCGAUCCUUGGUUUGAUCCCUUCUGGGGUUAUCCGGAAACCUAGGAAGUGACCCUCGUUGACUCUGAAGGCGCAUUUCUUGGCCUUUAGCCUCAACCCGGCCCGUCUCAUAUUGCCGAGGGUUUCUUCAAGGUUGACUAGGUGUGUUCCUGCUUCCCUUGACCAAACCAGAAUGUCAUCCACGUACACUUCUACAUUCCUGUCGAUUUGUUUCUCAAAGACGUGGUCCAUCAGUCAUUGGAAAGUGGUGCAUGCAUUCCUCAUGAGCCCGAACGGCAUCACCCUGAAACAGAACGUGCCCAGGUCGGUGACGAAGGAUGUCUUUUCCUCAUAAUCCCGGGCCAUGGAAACUUAGGAGUUUGCACCCGAAGCUUUGGUCGACUAGUCGGUCGACUGAUGGCAGGGGUAGUUAUUCUUGCGGCAAGCCUUGUUGAGGUUAGUGAAGUCGACACACAUUCGCCGACCUGUGUCUGCCUUGCGGACCAUCACCACGUUGGACAGCCACGCGGGGUAUUUUACCUGACGAAGGGGGGGGAGGUACUCGCUCUCCAGCAGGUGCUGUGCCAAGGCCUCCUCCUUCGUCUGACUCUAUGGUGUGGCGAUCGGUCGUGAGUUGGAGGACCUUCUCCUGUUGUUGUCGCUGACUCACCUACAGGGCGGAAACCAGCUCGGUGUACUUCGCGUUCUCCUGUCUGUCCUCUCUCUCUGCGCAUCUCGCCUGGUGACGCUUGUCGUGUCCCUUCCUGCUCCUCCUCUCGGUGGAGGUCGGAGACUUGUUUAGCCUCCUCCGUCUCGGCCUUAAGCACCUUGGUGAGGCUCUCUCUCCUGUACGAUAGGCCGGACUCGGUUCGAUUUGGAUCCUCCUCCACUAUGUCUAUCCACGGUAGUCUCAUUGGCUCUAGUGUCCUCUCAGGCUCGUGGCACCUCUCCGAACGACGCCUCGAGCUUUCUCCCCUCUGGUAGCCGCUGCAUGUGGCCAUCUUCCUCCUUCCUCUGGGUUGUUUGGUUAGUUUCACGUCAGGUUCACCACUGAUGGUGUGUGGGCUUACAAAUCGACCGCUCACACACGCACGCAACUCCCUCUCUAGUGUGUUCUCUCUAUGUUCCAUCCCCCUCCCAUGUUGGACCAUGGAAGGUAUUUAUAGGGUUUUCUUAUGGGCCUCCUGGGCCUCCCUUGGCCCAGGCCCAUCGUUCAGACAGGCAUGUAGUCUGUUUGGUCUGAAGUCCGUUGGACGGUCCUCGGUACCAACACAAAGUAAUAUAUUGCAACCAUCUACACGUGUAAUAUAAUAAAACAAUAAUAUAAUCCUAGAUUAAAAAUAGGAAUUAUAAAAAUAAAAACAUACCACUUAGGUUCGACAUCAAAAACAAUGUCUUCGAGGUAGAAAUUUGUUUGCGCUUGUGUAGUAUGUUGAAAGCAUUUUUAUUAUCUACCAUAGUUGUCGUUCCAAGCACUGGUGCGAUUUUAUAACCAAACAAAGUGAUGGAGCUAGUAAUCAUAUAAUCGGAACUGCAAGAGGGGGGUGGGAUCAAAUCCAUAGGUUGAUGGAUUUCUGCUGAACUGCCUCGGUUGGCGAUCGGAGGAAGAAGAUGGAACUGGAAUUAUAUCCAUGGAACUGUAAAAGGUAUUAGAAAAAAAUAGGAAACAAAACAAGAAGGAAAGGUAAAAAACCUGUAGAGAACGCAAAACAGAUAAAAGGGAAAUAGAACCUAGAUGAAGAUACUGAUAGUGAAUGGAGGAUGGUCGAUGGUAGAGAAAAAAUGAAUGUUUGUUGAAGUGGAACCGUCAUUCAAUCCACUGGAUUUCUGUUAAUUUAUAUUCAUCAAAAUAGAUCUCAACAACCCACAAUUAUGGGCACUACGUACACAACAAUUAACUAAUUCUGUUUUAACUAAUUACAGAUUUAUAUUCCACACUAAUACACCCCUUCAAUCCUGUGAGAAUGGUCUCACAAGAUUGAUUCGUUGUUGCGCAAAUCCUUUAGGCGACAAUGCUUUAGUAAGCAAAUCCGCUUUUUGUAUUGUUCCCGGAAUAUGAGAUAUGUGCAUCGAGCCAGCAUCAAUUCUUUCUCUAACAUACUUGAGAUCAAUCGCGACAUGUUUUAGCUUGGAGUGGCAUGCCGAGUUAAUAGCUAGAAAAACUGCACUUCGAUUGUCCAAUUUUAGUGCAAUUGGGAUUUUUACACCAACACCCAAUUCCACUAGUAGAUUUUUGACCCACUCUAACUCUUGAAUAGUUAUUGCGAUGACUCUAUAUUCCGAUUCGGUGCGUGAACGUAAGACCAUACUUUGCUUACGAGAACUCCACGAAACCAAUGUAUCACCAAUAUAUAUCAAAUAUCCUAUUUGACUAUUUCGAUCAACUUUAUCUCCGGCCCAAUCGACAUCGUAAUAUCUCGUAAUUGUGAAAUCAGAAACUUUCCCAAGUGUGAUACCCCAAGAUUGAGUACCCGAAAGGUAUCUAAGCACUUUCUUCGUAGCCGUCCAGUGAAGAGGCUUUAGAGAGGACAUAAAUUACGACAACUUAUUAACUGCAAAUUGAAUGUCCGGUCUCGUUAAUGUGAGAUAUUGAAGUGAGCCAACGAUUCGUCGAUAAUCUUUAACUUGUUUUAUCGGUGUCUCAUCGGAGUAAAGAUCUUGGUUGGUCAACAUAGGUGUAGUUGAAAGCUUCAUAUUGUCGAGAUUAAUUCCCUUGAGUAAAUUCACGAGGUAUUGAGUUUGGCAUAGAUGUAAUCCAUCCUCUACCUCUUUAAACCCUAACCCUAACUUGAAUUCCCAAGAAAUACGAGAUGCACCCGAGUUUUCGUACUGCAAAUUCUUCACCUAGUUGAUCCAUUACUUUUUCCACAAUAAACUCAUCAAACUCACGAUAACAAUAUCAUCGACAUACACAAACAAAAAUAUCCUGCAUCCAAUAGGAUUAACCUUGCACAAUAAAAAUAAUGAUGGAUCCGAGCAACUUUGAACAAACCCCAAUGUGAUCAGAAAUUGUCGAAGUUGUUUGAAUCACACCCUUGGUGUUUGUUUUAAUCCAUACAAGGCCUUAUUAAGUAAAUAAACGUGAUUUGGAAAAUUUUGAUCGAUAAAUCUCAUAGGUUGCUGUAUGACAAUCCUUUCCUCGAUGUCCCCAUGCAAAAAUGCAUUGGAGAUAUCAAGUUGAGAUAAUUUCCAUGAAUUCGAGACUGCGAUGGUAAGGACCAAGCGAAUAGAUACCAGCUUAACUACCGGACUAAAAGUUUCAUUGUACUCCGAUCCCUCUAUCUGCCGGAGUCCAUUGGCCACUAACCGCGCUUUCAAUCUUUCCACUGAUCCAUCCUUCCUUUGUUUCACCUUAAAAAUCCAUAACGAAUUAAUCACAUUAUCAUCUGGACUUCUCAGAAUUAAUUUCCAGGUGUUAUUCCUCUGAAGUGCAUCAAAUUCUUGUACCAUGGCGGCCUUCCACUCUGGAAUUAGCAGAGCUUGUUUUGACGACCUCGGAAUUGCAAUAUCGCUAGGUGAGAUAGAGUGCAUAUUUUGGAUUGGGCUUGACAAUCCCACAUUGAGCUCGGGUCACCAUUCGAUUUUCUAGAAUAGGCCCUUCCAAUGAAACACUCGAACUUCAUCUUGUCGGUGAGCCUAUGGUCGACGAGAAAUUCCCGCUCGACGUUGGGAAGAACACUUCCGCAGGUUGGAAACUGAUACAACUCGGCCGGCUACUAGAGAGAUUGCAGGGGAGGUAGCGCGGGACUUACUGGAGAUUCAAGAUCGAGAGAGUGAAGAGGUAAUCAAGCGUCCGAAAAGAUUGGCUAGGGCUCCGAGACGUUGGGACGAUUAUGGUACCCCAUUUGGGCGUAACUAAAGGGGACCAAUUUCAAUAUUUAAUUCAAGAACCAAUUUCGUAAUUUUAAUUAUUUCCAAAGGUUGUUUUAGGAAAUAUUUUAAAUUUAAUAUUGUAAAUAUUGUAGUUACAGACAAAUGGCUUUAUAAGCCAAUUUUUAUUAAAAAUAGCAACUACCAUAGUAUAGAAACCGUUUCAAAAUUUCCACGACAACUUCCACCAACCAUCCGACACAAGGUCGAGUACAACCUCCAUCCUCCGUGGUGCUCUGUUCUUCUCUAGCUGUAUCAAGCAUCCAGUCAGACUGCUUAACAACAAUCUUCUGUUUCGGACUCAGUCUUGAUUUCAGAGGUUUAUCCUCGCCGUGCGCGUCUCUAGGUAUCUGGGAUCUGUCGAUCGUCGGACCGGAGACUCUCUUCAUCUCAGGUGAUUUGAUUCUGAAUUCUUGUACAAUUCCUAAGAAUUGUAGCACUUGUGCUUUCAAUUUUCUCGAACUCGUUUAAUUGCAGAAAUUAAUGGCUUCUAAUAUGGAGUUAACUGCAAAUCCUGAUUUCAAAAGACUUCAAGCAUUACAAAUGGAGCAAACUAAAGAAAUGAAUGAAUUUUGUAUCGUUAUGACAAAUACAAUACAAUGGAUUUCAAAUCAAAUAAUGAAUAUGGGAAAAGAAACAAAAAUUCCAGAACCACCAGAUGGGGAACAAAACAAGCAAAACAGAGAAUUUGGUGAUCAAAGCUACCUAUCUUUAGUGGAUCUCGACAACCCCAUAUAUGCAGUUAGCAUACUGAAUGAUGACAAUUACAAUCCAGCAAAGAAUAUUAAAGUAGACUUGCCAAGAUUUGAGGGCAAAAAUGUCGAAGAUUGGCUAUUUCAAGUAAGAAGAUUUUUUUAUAUAUAAUAAGACUUCGGAAGAACAAAAAUUAUUAAUGGUUUCAUUCCAUAUGGAUGGAAUAGCGAGAAAAUGGUUUUCUUGGAUAGAGGCUAGCAACUUCCUCAGUGAUUGGAAAAAAUUUGUAAAAGAUGUAUGUAAAAAAUUCAGCAAAGGUAAUUAUACUCUCCCCGGAGGCAAACUAAGCAAAUUAAUGCAAGUGGGCUCUGUUGCUGAAUAUCAAACAGAGUUUGAAGAAAGGUGCACAAUGUUUAGGCCUACCAGAUUACUUUAUACUGGAAAUGUUCAUUUCUGGCCUCAGAAAUGACAUUCAAAAAGAGGUGGUAAAAUUCAAGCCAAAUGACAUACAAGAAGCAUUUGACAUGGCAGCCUUAGUAGAAGGAAAGAAAGUAGGAAGUGGAUCAAAUUGGAUCCCCAAAACAGCAAGAAGUACCUAGAAAUAACAACAAAAAGAGCUGACAAAUCCAGCAACAACUGAAAAAAUUCAGUAUGCAAAAGGAGGUCAAGAACAACCCUAUACCAAACCAGUCUUUAAAAGACUAUCACCUGAAGAAAGAACAGCAAAAGGACUUUGUUUUAACUGUGAGGACAUGUUCAUACCAGGGCAUAAAUGCAAAGGUAAAAUGUUUAUGUUAUCUGCAGAUGAAUCAUAUUUGCUAGAAAUGGAAGAACAAAAAGAAGUUAUGAAUAUGGAGGAAGAAAAUGUUGAAAUACCCAUCAUAAGAAAUAAUGAAGCUCCUACUGGUAUUAGCAUGCAUGCAUUCGAAGGACAAAUGAAUCCAAGCACAAUCAGGCUGGAAGGAUUCAUAAAAAUGCAAUCAGUGAGUAUUUUAGUUGAUUCGGGCUCCACACAUAAUUUUAUACAAUUAGCUGUAGCAUCUGCCUUAAAAUUAACUAUAUAUGCUACUAGACCAUUUAAAGUAGCCACAGAAAGUGGAGAAAAUCUCACUUGUGACAAAUUGUGCAAGGAUGUAGAAAUUAAAAUACAAGGUGUGGUAGUGACAUUGGAUGUAUUUUUAAUACCAAUGGCUGGAUCUAAUCUAGUAAUUGGAUUACAGUGGCUGAAAAAGUUGGGGUAUAUUGUCUCAAAUUAUGAAAAAUUAACAAUGAAGUUCAAAUGGGCAGGAAAAGAGGUAACUUGGCAAGGUAUAUCUUGGAUAUUUGAUGACCCAUUAACAGUGGGAGAACUGAAAAGUCUAUGUCAGGUAACCAUAGAGGCUUAUUUAUGUUAUUAUGAAGCUUCUUCAAAUAAUGAAUCCAGCAAGGUUCUGAGCAAAAAAAAUUCAGAAAUUCACGAAAUACUAAACGAAUUUUCAGAUAUAUUCUCUGAUCCUAAAGGUCUGCCUCCACAAAGAGAGAGAGAUCAUCUGAUACAUUUAAUACCAGGAGCUAAGCCAGUGAAUGUGAGACCUUAUAGGUACCCACAAUUUCAAAAAAAUGGAAUAGAGAAGCUAAUUUCAGAGAUGCUAGAUAAAGGCACCAUCAAACCAAGCCUAAGUCCAUAUUCUUCUCCAGUAUUACUCAUAAAGAAAAAAGAUAGUGGUUACAGAAUAUGUGUAGAUUAUAGAGCACUCAAUGCUCUAACUAUCAAAGAUAAAUUCCCCAUCCCAACGGUGGAUGAAUUGUUGGGGGAAAUGAAAGGAUCUACAAUAUUUUCUAAGCUAGAUCUGAGAUCAGGUUUUCACCAGAUCAGAGUUUGCCCAUCAGAUACUCACAAAACAAUAUUCAGAACACAUGAAGGCCAUUUUGAAUUUAUGGUUAUGCCAUUUGGGCUAACUAAUGCACCAACCACUUUUCAGACAGUUAUGAACUCUGUUUUUUUUUUAAAUAUUGAGAAAAUUCGUAAUAAUAUUUUUUGAUGAUAUAUUGAUCUACAUCCUUCACUUGAAGAACAUAUAACACAUUUGGGCAGAGUAUUUGAGAUACUCAGAAACAAUCAGCUAUUGGCAAAACUAUCUAAGUGCUCAUUUGGGAAAUCAUCCAUUGGCUUCCUAGGACACAUAAUUUCAGAAAAAGGAGUUCACCCUGAUCCAGAUAAAGUAAGUGCAAUGACAGAAUGGACGGUACCCAAAACCAUCAAACAACUCAGAGGUUUUUUGGGUCUAACUGGUUAUUAUAUAAGGUUCAUAAAGAAUUAUACUCAGAUUGCUGCACUUAUGACAAACCUAUUGAAGAAGGACAGUUUUAAGUGAUCUGAAGAUAGUAAAACUAGUUUUGAGACUUUGAAGGCAGCUAUGAUAAAGGCUCCUUUUUUAGCAUUUCCAGAUUUUGAAAAAUUAUUCAUAUUAGAGACCGAUGCUUGUAACAGUGGGGUGGGGGCAGUACUUAUAUAGGAAUACCAUCCUAUUUCAUUUUAUAGCUGCAAAAUAUCUGGAGAAAUUGCAGGUGCUUCAAUCUACAUAAAAGAAAUGUUUGCCAUAACACAGUCAGUCCAUAAAUGGAGACAUUAUUUGCUUGGUGCUCCCUUUACUAUAAGAACUGAUCACAGAAGUUUAAAAAAUUUAUUGACACAGGUCAUUCAGACCCCAGAGCAACAGGUAUUCUUAUGUAAAUUAUUGAGUUUUGAUUUUCAGAUCGUAUACAAACCAGGGAAAUCAAAUGUGGUGGCUGAUGCUUUAUCUAUAUCAUUUGAAGGAGAAGAAGAAGAAGAAAUUAUUUAUUCUCACUCAUCCAAGGGAAAUCCAUGCUCAUUUUUAGCUCUCUCAACUCCUAUAUAUAAUUUGAUAGAUGUAAUCAGAAAAGAAAACAAGGAAAAUAAGCCCUGAGAGAAUUGAUGGAAGAAAUCAGCAAACACCCUAAUUCCAAGGUUGGUUUCACAGUGCAAGGAGAAAUUAUUAAAUUCAUAGGAAGAAUAUAUAUAUCAAAAAAUUCUAUUUUAAGGGAGGAAAUUAUGAAAGAAUACCAUUCAACAGUAACUGGAGGGCACUCUGGGAUCAAGGCAACUACCAAAAGAAUUAAUCUACAAUUUUGGUAGGAAGGUAUGUCUAAAGAUAUUAGAGAAUUUGUGUUAAAUUACAAAAUAUGUCAACAGAUGAAGCCCAUAAACCAAAAGAAGGAGGGUUUACUCAUGCCAUUACCCAUACCUAAUAUGGUUUGGAAGAAUGUAACAAUGGACUUCAUCAUCGAGCUACCACAAGUAGAAGGAAAAAUAAUCAUCAUGGUAGUGGUGGAUAGAUUAUCAAAAUAUGCAUACUUUGAAGCUUUACCCACAAAUUUUAAUGCAAGUAUGGUAUCUGAAUUAUUUACAUCAAUGGUCAUCAAAUUACACGGAAUACCAAGUUCCAUUGUCUCAGAUAGGGACAAGAUAUUCACUUCCAAAUUUUGGAAGGAAUUGCAUAACAAGAGUGGGACCAAACUACAUUACUCUACUGCCUAUCACCCGAAAAGUAAUGGCCAAACAAAAGUGGUCAACAGAGGUUUGGAAAUGUAUCUAAGAUGUUUUUGUCAUGAUGAUCCAAAAAAAUGGUUGAGCUUACUAUCAUGGGCUGAAUUAUGGUAUAACACCAAUUAUCAUUCAUCUAUCAAAACAACACCUUUUAAUGUGUUAUAUGGGAGAGAUCCACCAGGAAUUGCACAAUACACUCCCAGGGAUUCAAGCAUAGAUGCGGUAGAUGCAAGUAUGCAAGUAAGGGAAGAAGUUCUGAAUCACAUCAAAGCUAAUCUAAAGAAGUGCCAAGAAAUUAUGAAACUAAAGGCAGAUACAAAAAGAAAAGAUAUUGAGUUUAAUUUGGGCGAUUGGACAUGGAUUAAAUUAAAACCUUAUAAGCAGAGAGCACUAUGGCAUAUAGAUUGAAUCAUAAAUUAAGUAAAAGGUAUUUCAGACCUUACAAAAUUACACAGUGGAGUUACCCCAAGGCAGCAAGAUCCAUAACACAUUCCACAUAUCAAAAUUAAAGCCUUAUAGAGGAGAAAUACCACCACAUAAAGAAGUAAAACCAAUCCUAUCUAUCAACAAUCAACCAAUAGUCUAUCUGGUGGCAUUAAUUGACGCAAGAAAAAUAUACCGGAAUGGGAAGAUGACGGACCAGGUAUUGGUGCACUGGAAUGAUUCACAGCCGGAAGAUGCAUCUUGGGAGGAUUUCCUGCAGCUAGCAACUUUGUUCCCAUCCAUCACCAAUGAGGGCAUGGCGAUUUUCAAAAAGGGGAGAGAUGAUACAACUCGGCCGGCUACUAGAGAGAUUGCAAGGGAGGUAGCACGGGACUUGCUGGAGAUUCAAGAUCGAGAGAGUGAAGAGGUAAUCGGGCGUCCGAAAAGAUUGGCUAGGGCUCUGAGACGUUGGGACAAUUAUGUUACCCCAUUUGGGCGUAACUAAAGGGGACCAAUUUCAAUAUUUAAUUCAAGGACCAAUUUCGUAAUUUUAAUUAUUUCCAAAGGCUGUUUUAGAAAAUAUUUUAAAUUUAAUAUUGUAAAUAUUGUAGAUACAGACAGAUGGAUUUAUAAGCCAAUUUUUAUUAAAAAUAGCAACUACCAAAGUAUAGAAACCGUUUCAAAAUUUCCACGACAACUUCCA
rnacentral:lncRNA from 1 species